rnacentral:tRNA from 1 species
GGGGUUGUAGCUCAGUGGUAGAGCGCUUGCCUAGCACAUGUGAGGCACUGAGUUCAAUCCUCAGCACCA